AAAAAUCUUAAGUAAUGCAUUGACUGAGCCAGGCUGGGUCUGCUGUCUUCCAUUUGUUCCUCCUAUGAUGCCCGCUGACUGGAAAGCUUACUCCACCCUGGUCCAGAAGUGUGCAUGAGGCAGGAGGCUUGUUCCCACCUGGAUCCUGCAGAAAUGACUCUAUGAGGUCUACACUAACUGUACUUUAAAAAAAAGUAGACUUUGAAGUUUAGAGUAAUUCAAGAUUAUAAAGAAGGUUCAAAAACAGUGUGGCUUACCGUCUAUGACCAGCAGCAAGUGCCCCCCAGUGUCAGCUGCUCAGGAGCCUUCUGCCAACUAAAGCUUGUCCUUCAUCCAUGAGAACCCUAUGUGAUACUUAGCUCCUUAGGGUUUUCUAGGUGGAGAAAGCUCCUCACACUUUUGUCUUAACUGGCAGCACAGAGAAGCCCUGGCCAGGUUAUCACAUGGCGGCUCCAUGGAGAAGAGAGGAGAAAGAGGAAGAGAAAGAGAGCAAUUUCUUGCUUGUCCCUGCUUAUAUUCUGAGUCUGCCUGCUAUGUCACUUCCUGCCUGGAUCACAAGACUUAUCUUUACUACAUUUCCCAGAAUCCUCCUUGACUCCUAGUCCCACCUAACUUGCUUCCUCAUUGACUCCUAGUCCCGCCUAACUUCAUUCCUCACUUUAUUCAACAACCAAUAAGAUAAAUAUACACAGAAGAACUUGCUGUAUCACACUCCCAAACUCAUCUAUGUCAACCCCACACCCCCCCAAACUUAUCUAUGUAACCCCACACCCCCAAACUCAGGGAACAUGGUGGGAAAGGAGGUAAAAAGACGAUGAGAUGGAGGGUGGGGAUGAGUGUUGUGAAAUGCUGCCUCUGGGCACAUGGCGGUGACUUUCGUGGACUUGCAGCAGCUGCAGGUACCUGCACAAGAUCAAGCUGGUCCGCAUUCCAUCAGGGAUGGGAGGGCUCUGCUCCUCUCUGGGGAGCUAUUUGCAGUUAAUGGCAGCUGGAGGAGCGGGGUUAUUUUUCUUCAGUGAUGUAGCUUAGCUAUUGGUUAAGCCGCUCAUGCUCCUGUGCAUGGUCCCACACCCACACGCAUGCAAGAAACACUAAUUAAACUCUGUGUCGUAAAAAGAGGUCACACGUGUAGGAGGGUGAUGACUUCUUGAAGGGACCCAGAGGGAGCUGGAGGGGGACUAAGAAAGGGUAAUGGAGG
rnacentral:lncRNA from 1 species